UACGUAGGGGGCGAGCGUUGUCCGGAAUCAUUGGGCGUAAAGAGCUCGUAGGCGGUUCAGCAAGUCGGCUGUGAAAUUCCGAGGCUCAACCUCGGAACUGCAGUCGAUACUGCUGUGACUCGAGUCCGGUAGAGGAGAAUGGAAUUCCCGGUGUAGCGGUGAAAUGCGCAGAUAUCGGGAGGAACACCAGUGGCAAGGGGGGUUCUCUGGGCGGGUCCUGACGCUGGGGAGCAAAGCGUGGGGAGCAAACAGG
rnacentral:rRNA from 1 species